rnacentral:rRNA from 1 species
GGAAAGAAACAACUGUGAUUCCCUUAGUAAUGGCGAAUGAAACGGGAACAGGGCAUCGCGGAACUGCAGGUCAUCUUGGCCUCGCGGAAUGUCGCGUUCGGGAGAGUCUUCUCGAGGACCGGACGGCCAGUCAAAGUCCAACUUGACAGUGGCCACUGCCCAUAGAGGGUGAUAGGCCCGUAAGGCGGCUGUCCGUUUUCGCUGACUUUUUCCCUAGAGUCGGGUUGCUUGGGAGUGCAGCCCAAAGUGCGAGGUAAACUCCUCGUAACCCUAAAUAUGACCCCGAGACCGAUAGCAAACAAGUACGGUGACGGAAGAUUGAAAAGAACUUUGAAGAGAGAGUUCAGUCAUAGCUGUUUC